GUCGGGUAGCUCAGCUGUA
rnacentral:tRNA from 1 species